AUUUAAAUAGCUUAUAUAAAGUUAAAAGCAUGAUAUUGAAGAUAUUAAGAAAAUUAUUGUAAUUUUUAAGUA
rnacentral:tRNA from 1 species